AUGGCAAAAACCAGUGUUUCAAUUGUUCUAGUUGUUCUUGUUCUGGCAUUAUUUCUGAAUGGCUAUAAUGCUGCUGAGAGGGUAGAAAGUGGUUAUCCACCUGAGAAAGAUGAUGGUUAUGAUUUCAAAGAUAAGCAUUUUAAUUAUUUUGUAUGCUUGAAAUUGUAUAAGUUGUGUUAUUAUGUUGAUCAUAAGUUUUGUUAUGAGUACUUUGAGAAGUGUAAAGAUCACGACACCACCGCAGCUAAAGCUGCUAAGGCUCAUGCUGGGAGCAAGAUUCCAUGA